AGCAUAAUCAUUAGUCUUUUAAUUUGAGACUGGUAUGAAAGAGUAAACUGGGAGAAUCUUUUUUAAGCUGAAAAAAUGAAUUUUACUUUUUAGUAAAAAGGCUAAAAUAAAUCUUUUAGACAAGAAGACCCUAUAAAACUUUAUAUUUCUAUUUCUUAGAUGAAAGAAGGAGUAUUUCACUGGGGCGGUGGGAAAAUGAAGCUUUUCUUGAUUGGAGAAACGAACAUGUCUUUAUACCUAGAAUUUCUAAAACAGAAAUAAGUUACUUUAGGGAUAACAGCUUAAUUCUCUUAGAAAGAUCAAAUUGACAAGAGAGUUUAUGACCUCGAUGUUGAAUUAAAAUACCUUUAUUUGCGCAAAAGCUUUAAA
rnacentral:rRNA from 1 species